GAUGAACGCUAGCGGGAGGCUUAACACAUGCAAGUCGAGGGGUAUAGUAGCAAUACUAGAGACCGGCGGACGGGUGCGUAACGCGUAUGCAACUUGCCUUAUACAGGGGGAUAGCCCGUGGAAACGCGGAUUAAUACCCCAUAUGUCAACUGGGUCGCAUGGUUUGGUUGAUAAAACUGAGGUGGUAUAAGAUGGGCAUGCGUCUGAUUAGCUGGUUGGUAAGGUAACGGCUUACCAAGGCGACGAUCAGUAGGGGUUCUGAGAGGAUAAUCCCCCACACUGGUACUGAGACACGGACCAGACUCCUACGGGUGGCAG
rnacentral:rRNA from 1 species